rnacentral:rRNA from 1 species
GAUGAACGCUGGCGGCGUGCCUAAUACAUGCAAGUCGGGCGAACAGACGAGGAGCUUGCUCCUCUGACGUUAGCGGCGGACGGGUGAGUAACACGUGGAUAACCUACCUAUAAGACUGGGAUAACUUCGGGAAACCGGAGCUAAUACCGGAUAAUAUAUUGAACCGCAUGGUUCAAUAGUGAAAGACGGUUUUGCUGUCACUUAUAGAUGGAUCCGCGCCGCAUUAGCUAGUUGGUAAGGUAACGGCUUACCAAGGCAACGAUGCGUAGCCGACCUGAGAGGGUGAUCGGCCACACUGGAACUGAGACACGGUCCAGACUCCUACGGGAGGCAGCAGUAGGGAAUCUUCCGCAAUGGGCGUAAGCCUGACGGAGCAACGCCGCGUGAGUGAUGAAGGUCUUCGGAUCGUAAAACUCUGUUAUUAGGGAAGAACAAAUGUGUAAGUAACUAUGCACGUCUUGACGGUACCUAAUCAGAAAGCCACGGCUAACUACGUG